rnacentral:rRNA from 1 species
AUUGAACGCUGGCGGCAUGCCUACACAUGCAAGUCGAACGGCAGCAUGGAGAGCUUGCUCUCUGAUGGCGAGUGGCGAACGGGUGGGUAAUAUAUCGGAACGUGCCCAGUCGUGGGGGAUAACGUAGCGAAAGCUACGCUAAUACCGCAUACGAUCUACGGAUGAAAGCGGGGGAUCGCAAGACCUCGCGCGAUUGGAGCGGCCGAUAUCAGAUUAGGUAGUUGGUGAGGUAAAGGCUCACCAAGCCGACGAUCUGUAGCUGGUCUGAGAGGACGACCGGCCACACUGGGACUGAGACACGGCCCAGACUCCUACGGGAGGCAGCAGUGGGGAAUUUUGGACAAUGGACGCAAGUCUGAUCCAGCCAUUCCGCGUGCAGGACGAAGGCCUUCGGGUUGUAAACUGCUUUUGUACAGAACGAAAAGGUCUCUAUUAAUACUAGGGGCUCAUGACGGUACUGUAAGAAUAAGCACCGGCUAACUACGUGCCAGCAGCCGCCGUAA